rnacentral:sRNA from 2 species
ACAAUCAUUAAUCAAAGAUACUGUGUUUUUUAAAUCUCAAGAUAUUUAACAUCAGACACAGUUCAAUCAAUAUCUUUUAUUAUUUGAAAAUAAAUUCCCUCAAUAAUCACUACAUUCUCUAAAUAAUCUAGUGUAACAGAUAUGUCACUGAUUAAACAGAUGUUAUCAUUGUUGCAGAUUAAAUCAUUUAUAUUAUCUGCACAGUUUGUAUAAUUCAUUUCAACAGCACUAUCUACAGACUUGAUACUAUUCUGAUAACAGUUUAUAAAUCAAUUAAGAAAAGAAAGAGAAAGAAGAUUAGAGAAAGAGAUUAUAUAAGAAAGUUCUUAUAAAUAGAGAAAUCAGAACAGAAGAAAUAUCAGAGAUUGUACUCUGAAGAAAUAUAAAAUAAAAGAAUUAUUAGAAUAUUAAAAUAUAUAUAAUUAUAAAAUGAA